UGUUGUUGUUGUGUGUCCUGGCUAAAGAGACUCACCAUGGCCAUGUUGACCGUUCUUCUGCUUCUCAGUGCUGCCUUUGCUCUGGGAGACGCAAUUUCAUCCGGAAACCGCUUGUGUCCCCCCGG